GUGUCAGCAGCCGCGGUAAUACGUAGGGGGCGAGCGUUGUCCGGAAUGAUUGGGCGUAAAGGGCGCGUAGGCGGCCCUGCAAGUCAGUAGUGGAAGUCCAUUUUUCAAGGGUGGAAGUGCUAUUGAAACUGCGGGGCUUGAGUAUGGGAGAGGUCAUCGGAAUUCCCGGUGUAGCGGUGAAAUGCGUAGAGAUCGGGAGGAACACCAGUGGCGAAGGCGGGUGACUGGACCAUAACUGACGCUGAGGCGCGAAAGUGUGGGGAGCAAACAGGAUUAGAAACCCGCGUAGUCC
rnacentral:rRNA from 1 species